rnacentral:rRNA from 2 species
GACGAACGCUGGCGGCGUGCCUAAUACAUGCAAGUCGAACGAACUCUGGUAUUGAUUGGUGCUUGCAUCAUGAUUUACAUUUGAGUGAGUGGCGAACUGGUGAGUAACACGUGGGAAACCUGCCCAGAAGCGGGGGAUAACACCUGGAAACAGAUGCUAAUACCGCAUAACAACUUGGACCGCAUGGUCCGAGUUUGAAAGAUGGCUUCGGCUAUCACUUUUGGAUGGUCCCGCGGCGUAUUAGCUAGAUGGUGGGGUAACGGCUCACCAUGGCAAUGAUACGUAGCCGACCUGAGAGGGUAAUCGGCCACAUUGGGACUGAGACACGGCCCAAACUUCUACGGGAGGCAGCAGUAGGGAAUCUUCCACAAUGGACGAAAGUCUGAUGGAGCAACGCCGCGUGAGUGAAGAAGGGUUUCGGCUCGUAAAACUCUGUUGUUAAAGAAGAACAUAUCUGAGAGUAACUGUUCAGGUAUUGACGGUAUUUAACCAGAAAGCCACGGCUAACUACGUGCCAGCAGCCGCGGUAAUACGUAGGUGGCAAGCGUUGUCCGGAUUUAUUGGGCGUAAAGCGAGCGCAGGCGGUUUUUUAAGUCUGAUGUGAAAGCCUUCGGCUCAACCGAAGAAGUGCAUCGGAAACUGGGAAACUUGAGUGCAGAAGAGGACAGUGGAACUCCAUGUGUAGCGGUGAAAUGCGUAGAUAUAUGGAAGAACACCAGUGGCGAAGGCGGCUGUCUGGUCUGUAACUGACGCUGAGGCUCGAAAGUAUGGGUAGCAAACAGGAUUAGAUACCCUGGUAGUCCAUACCGUAAACGAUGAAUGCUAAGUGUUGGAGGGUUUCCGCCCUUCAGUGCUGCAGCUAACGCAUUAAGCAUUCCGCCUGGGGAGUACGGCCGCAAGGCUGAAACUCAAAGGAAUUGACGGGGGCCCGCACAAGCGGUGGAGCAUGUGGUUUAAUUCGAAGCUACGCGAAGAACCUUACCAGGUCUUGACAUACUAUGCAAAUCUAAGAGAUUAGACGUUCCCUUCGGGGACAUGGAUACAGGUGGUGCAUGGUUGUCGUCAGCUCGUGUCGUGAGAUGUUGGGUUAAGUCCCGCAACGAGCGCAACCCUUAUUAUCAGUUGCCAGCAUUAAGUUGGGCACUCUGGUGAGACUGCCGGUGACAAACCGGAGGAAGGUGGGGAUGACGUCAAAUCAUCAUGCCCCUUAUGACCUGGGCUACACACGUGCUACAAUGGAUGGUACAACGAGUUGCGAACUCGCGAGAGUAAGCUAAUCUCUUAAAGCCAUUCUCAGUUCGGAUUGUAGGCUGCAACUCGCCUACAUGAAGUCGGAAUCGCUAGUAAUCGCGGAUCAGCAUGCCGCGGUGAAUACGUUCCCGGGCCUUGUACACACCGCCCGUCACACCAUGAGAGUUUGUAACACCCAAAGUCGGUGGGGUAACCUUUUAGGAACCAGCCGCCUAAGGUGGGACAGAUGAUUAGGGUG